GGUUAGGACGGCGGGAGCCGCCGCCUCUCCCUUCCCCUCGCCCGGCGGGGGGGACCGGGCCCCGCGGCCGCCCCGCCUCCCGCCCCGCUCCUCACGCAAGGUGCGGGGCACCGCCAGAGGCGACACCGGAAUACCCUGUGGACCUCAGUCUCCCACUCGGAGAAAAAACUCCCGUUAUUAUUGAUGAGCUUUACACAAGGAUUGACAAACAGCCAAAAAUUUUGGCCCUGUGAAUCAUAUGGAUGUCGAUAACAGGCUUGGUGUGCUCAUGACAGAACGAUCAGAGACAUUAUUUUAUUCAUUAAAAUAAUGCGAUAUUGAA